UCUCUGCCUUCAUUCAUAAAUUUUCUCCAAUCACAUUGAGCAAACCCACAAAUUCUCUACCCGUAAACCCCAAAACCACCACGCUCUCUGCUAUCAUUAAAAAGUUCUCGAAUCUCCAGUCCACCAGCUUCGAUGUUAGUUCGACAUAAUGCCUUAGCUUUCUUCGAUUGUCUCACCGAACAGCGGAUAGAAGUGGAGAUGUAGUAGUAAAUGGCUUGGGUUUGUGCUUAGGGUUGGGUCUGCUUGUAAUAGUAGUGGUGGCGACGGAGAAAGAGGAGGAACGGUGAUUGUGUCGGCAGCAUAGAGAAGAAGCGGCAAUGGGAUUUGGGGGAAUGAAGUUGAAGGAAGUGAGGAUCGUAAUGGAUCUCUUAUUUCCUGGCCAACGGUUUUCAAUUGGGAAUCGCAAAAGCAAUUUUUCUAACUUAUUAGUAGUUUUGUUUGAAAUUCUGAGUGAGUGCAUUCAAAACUUUCUCCUGCCCUUCUCUAGAACAUCCCUUUAUGAUAUGUUAAUGAACAAAAUGUUUAUUACUGACUUGCUUCUACAAUAUUUGUUCUGUAAUGUGAAUGUUGGUUGUUGCAGCUGUUGCAUCUAUAAUCC
rnacentral:lncRNA from 1 species